rnacentral:lncRNA from 1 species
CUGGCAGCAUCAUUUGGAAUAAAUGAAACUACCUUCGACAGGCUUGUGAAUCAACAACGCGAAUCGGUUAUCUUAGAAUGCACCUCCUGCGCAGAGGAAGAAUGGAGGAUAAUGGAGGAAGAGAUUGAGAGGGAAAGAGAGGAGGCAAGGCAGAGGGAAGAGGAGGCAAGGAAGAGGGAUGAAGAGAGGAAAAGACAGGAAGAGGAAGCUGAGACGAGAGAAGAGGAGGAGGCAGCUAGGGAGAGAGCAGAGGAGGAAAGGAAGAAGAGAGAGCAAGAAGAAGAGGAAGAGGCGGCACGGAGAAAGAGAGAGGAAGAGGCAGCACGAGAAAGGAGGGAACAAGAGGAAAGAGAACAAGAAGCAGCACAGAUGGAAGAGAAAGAAAGGGAAGCAGCUAAGCGAGAGGAAGAAGAAGCAGCACAAAGAAGACAAGAAGAAGCUGGCCAGGGAGAAGGAGGGCGCCCACACGAAGGGGGCAGGGAAGCACGGCCGCCGGAGGAAGACGGAAGAGGAGGAGUAGGAGCCAGGCAGGAGGAGGAAACUGCAAAGCAACAAGAAAAAGAAAUGGGACAAGAGGAGGAGCAGGGCAAUGGCCAAGGAUGGGGAAGAAGAAUCCUUAAAAAUGCUUCUUGACUGUGUCUAGUAAUGCUCAAAAGUAGACGUUUCCAGUGAGCAUAAAGCUGAAUAAGCAGUUUUGUUUCAGUCUUUGCUUUAUUUUGUGUUUGCUUGUGAAAUACCUUCAGUUGAGAGCUCCAUUAGCGCAUGGUGAAGUCCUUUAAAAGCCAGCUUAUUGAAUUCCUACGAAUGAAUGACUCCAAUUAAUUCCUGCGAUUGAUCUAUCUUAGAACUGCUUGAGCAAGAGCCAAAACUCAGCCAGGUUUUCUCACAUCAUGGACAGGAAUCCUAAACUCGAGCAAUAAAGGAGUUUUCCAUACCUACUUUUCUUACUUUUUGAUGGAUUGCAAGAGAGGAAUAUGUCUCACAAUGAACAAUGGACGACGUAAACGGGUCCUCAAAUAGCCCAAAAAGAUGAAAAAAAAAAAAAAGGACAACGCUUGAAUACCCCCACAGAAAGCAUUUUCAAGCUACAAUAGCACGCAGAAAUGAUUUUGUAAACAUUCUCAGACUAUUAAUACUCAAUUAGAUAUCAGGGACGACCUCUGGGUUCAACGGCAGCUCAAAAAGCUAGGAAACUACUAUCCAUAUCUUACAACUGUAACGGAACACCUUCAUACGUAUCAAAUUUAGUAUCAAAUUUGCAAAAGAAGAGGGAGAAAGGGGGUGAGGAAAUCUGGAAAAUCUCGAAAGCUUUGUAAAGAGAAUAAACACCACGUAUUCAAAGGCCAGAAUGAGGAAAGGACUGUAUAAAGUCAAAUGUAAGAAUUGUAAAAUCUAUGUUUCAGUCGAGCCUGACAAGUCAGAGACAUACGAAACAACCACCGUAAUGUCAUCAAGUUUUCCACCAUAAUAAGAGAAUCCAAUCUCUUGUGCUGCAGUAGAAAAUGGAGUUUGCCUUUCCCUGUCCUGCGCUCGGUGGCGCGCCAAAGCUGCAACUUUUUGUGCUGUCAACUCAGGGGUGAAACCCGAUGUCACUGCUGCACCAACAAUUGUAGUUAUUUCACGUUUAUACAAGUUAUCAAAUAGCCCAUCUGUUCCGGCAACAAUGACAUCUCCCGGUAAAACUGAAAUCUUGAAAACCUGGCCAAAAUAUUUAAAUCUCAUUUAGGAGGACUCCUGUCGGUGAAACACUAUUAGCGUGAACAAUUGAGAUGAUAUUCUUCUCGAGACAUUCUUGAUUAUAAAAGCACCAUGUAUACAAAUUCACUUGCACAAAAGAUCAGUAAGGAGUGUUCCACUAAAUUACCUGACCGGAACUUGGAAGGUCACCCUUAUUUCCUCUUUCCAGUUGAUAGGGAAAAUUGAAUCCAUGCUGCUGGACUGGAGACUCAAAGGUGGUGCUGCCAUCUCUGACCACAAUAAAUCCACUGUCUCCAAGAUUUAUGGCAUGCAGAAACUGUGGAAGAGAACAAAUAUGCACAGAUGACCAUCAGAGGCAUCAAAACUCUUCUCAAGUUCAAAGAGGGAAAAAAUUUGAAGUCUAUGCAACCUCCAGUACAACAAACUAGUGUCUUAAAGAAUCAUUGGCUUUUUCAUGAUCGCUUUAGGCUGUAAUGUGACAGCCAAACCAAUCCAAUAUGCAAGAGUAGGUCUGAAGAAUUGAACAAACACUAAUCUACCAAAAGGCAUCCAAAGAAAGAAUGAAGAAAAUCAGGAGAUUAAGUGUAGUUAGGCAAACUAAUGGCACAGUGUUCUUUCACUUUUACUCAAGUACAAUAGCAUAACCUUCGCCUUUACAGUUAUUUUCUGCAACCUCCAAUAUUCUAGUGGUCCUCAGAGAGAAUCUCCUUUCUACUCAGAUAUGAGGUUUGGUCUCUUGCAGCAAAAAGUACCAGUGCCAAACCGUCAUCGCCUCCAUCUUAUAGGAAAGAUAAAACAGAAUUUCCCAUCUUUGCCUCCUCUAUGUGCAUGGCUCUGUGCAUGUCUUUUACAAAUAUAACACGAGUCGUCAUCCAUAAACACCACAUAAAUGUACUUCACGGUUUUACGCUUUCUACACUUAGAACAGGAAAAAAAAACACACCAAGAAUGACAUAUUCUGCCUAAAUUUGCCAAAACAUCAGGAUAAUUCCCCUCUAAUGAACCCCAACAAAUACAUUCAUCUACAAAUCACCAAUCAAAAGUGGUCACAUCCAAGUUGAAAAUGUUACUACAGCCAUUUUGUUGCAUGCAAGUUGGAGCAAUAUUUUCAAAAGACGUAGUACAAGAAGAAUAUGUGUGCAUGGACAAAUAUUUUUGGUAUGAAGUUAGUAAGACCUGGUCUUUUAGCACAAUGAUGCAGGCUGUUGAGGAACCCACAGCAUUUGUUUCCGAGUGUGCUUUCUCCAAUACGCGAGCGGGAUCAAUAAACUCCCCGGGCUCAUUUUUAAUAGCAUCCAUCGAGUUAGACAUGAGUUCACAAGCAUAUUCUCCAGCAUUAAUCCCAACCUCCGCCCAACCACCAACUCCAUCUGCCACACCAAUUGCUUGCUCAUCCGAACAGAUGAAAUGAGCAUCCUCUCCACCUGUUUUUUCUUUAUCAGGAUGGGGUAGGUAGCAUGAUCCAGAGUGUAGCUUCAGUGUUCUGUUGCUUAGAGAUCUUCUGGAUUCAGCAGUAGUAGCCAACCAACAUUAAGGAAAAUCACAAUACUAUAUCGCCAAACUUAUUAAUGCUCAAUGCGACUCCCACAAACAUAGAACUGUGCAUCUCUAAUAAACUUAAAUUGAAAAACCCAUUCAGUAGAAAAUUGAAGCAGGAAAUGAUCAUCUUUGACGCAACGACUCACUGCUAAGAUUUAUUUACCUAGUAAGUAAAAAGACAAAAUUCAAGCAAUACCUUGUUUUGAUUAAAAAACGUAAAUAUUUGAUACUCAAACCAGAAUAACGAAUCUCUACAAUAGCCACAAUAUGUGAAUAUGCAAAUCUUUGACUUUUCAACACCAUGACGAAAGACAAUGUUCUUUAGCAAUCAGAGAGAAAGUUUCCCUUUAAAACACGCUAAAAAUCAGAAACCAUACAAAAGAGGAGAAAAAUCCAUUCCAUUUUGAGAAACGAUGGACACCCAAGUUCGACAACUAUGUCUUUUCACAAGUCACCACUUUCAUCGUCCUUGAAUUUCCAUGAGUUAUAUGAGUUGGAAGAAGCAUAAAUAUAAAAAAUCCUGUAAACACUGAGUCGAGGAUCACAUUAUUUUUUUAUUAAGUUCCGGCUUGCUGACAAGCUAAGCUCAACUAAAGAAUUCUCUGUCUGACAGACAAACUGCUAAUGUUGAAGGGUCACCAAAUACGAUCUUGACUGUUGGAAUAUAGGACCUGGAUUAUUGUUGAAUAUCCAAACUAAUUUUAAGGUCAAUACAUCGGGACCAUACACGACUGGCCAUCUGGUUUUAUUUAAUACAACACCUUGGCUAAAUUUGAAGUUAAAUGAACGCACCAAAAAAUCUUCAGGGAACAACUACCUUCUGGAUUAACAAAUGUAUUUAACUAUAAUCAAUUUUGAACCAUUGCACAUAAUAAAGAAACUGCAUACAAGAAAAUUUUUUUGUUUCUAAAUUAACAAAUAGAUGGAAACAACUUGAUAAGACAACACAAAAGGUUAGAGCAUUUACUGGUCUGGUGGUAUGGCAAGACUUGAUAGCUGUUCGUCGAAUGAGGUUCCGUUGCAGAGUACAUCAGAUGCAGCCCCAGUCGAACAACAUGGUGAUGAUGAGGAACUGCAGCUUCUAAACCACGACCCAACAAGGGCAUUCGAGCUGCGACAUUUCCAUCUACCUCCAAGCACAGAAAAAGCACGAUCAGUGCAGCGGCUAUUGGUUACCCCAUUUCUCAAACUCAGACUAGCUUUUUGACAAUUAUCGAGACCUCUAUUGCCAAAAUACAUCACAACAGGUUUAGCAAAACUCGAAACAUUCCCACAACCAGAGAUAAAAGUAUCCAUAACAAGGUCUCCAGGGGCAGCCGUUGAACUAGAAACAGCCAUGGCUCCACUAAAAUUCCCAAAAGCUUGAGAAGACGGGCGCGAUAGAACACCACCACCACCACGUGUCUGAGAAAAUGCCUCAACGGCAGAAUGCUUGGUUCUACUGUAAGUAUAACAAGCCCCAAAUUUCUGACUUCUUUUUACUGUCAAAGAUUCUAUUAACUUGUGGGUUGGUGCUAGUUUCACUCUUAAACCUCUCUGAACCCCAAAACAAAAGGCAGAAUUCGGUUUGGGAAGCAACCCUGAUGACAUAUCCUAUUCCCCCUCAGCUCAACCCAAUUCGUCCAUUAGAUGAACUCCAAACUUAGCAAGUCUGCAUUGUGAGCCAAUCCCCUUUAAUCCUGAGAAACUUCACAUCCUACUCAACGAUAACUUUGCCUGCCCAAGCAGCAAUUUCCUGCUACCUGAUUACAAAAACAAUUGCAUUAUAAAAAGAUUCAUUCGUUUUUCCUUUUCUUCUACUUUCGCAAGAUGAAAAGAAAGAUACAAGGGAAAAAGGAAGGCAUGGGGAACCCGGGAUUUCGGCAAUUCGGGCUUGACUAGGGGCGGAUCGAGAAUGCUGUCUGGGGACAAAAUUAUCGUUGGAGAGAAGAACAGCCGAAGUCCACCGCUUAAUGGGGGCUAAUAUCGCAGUCAGUCUCAAAUUUCUAAGUUUGACGCCCACCAGCCCAAAAAACUGAAAAACGGACAAAAACGAAGCGGUGGCUCAGAAUGAAGCGGAAAUUGGCGUUUGGAUUUAUAUUGGUGAGUUUUUUGGGAAAUAUUAGUGUAGCGUGUACGUAAGAUAAAAAAAAAAAGUAAUUAAAAAAUAGGUAUAUAAAAAUAUUUACAAAAAAUCACAAUCCAAAUAAGGCGUAGUUUUUUAGUCCCUUUUUAAUAAGAAAUCAUGUCAAUUUUGUCCUAUCAAGUUUUAUUUUGAUUAAUGUAUCACAGCAUAGUUUAUAACACUGGAAGAAGAUGACCUUUUAACACUUUGACACUCAUAAAAAUUGAUAGUAAUUUUUGAAAAAAAAAAAAAGAAUUAAGAGGCAGUGUGUGAAUUGUCUAAAAUACAGCAAGUAUAUUAUUAUAGGGACCAGGGAGAGCGCAAAAUUGGAACUAGAGAUGUUAGUGAGCCGAGCUACUCGCGAGUAGCUCGCGAGUAGCUCGGUCAACAACUCGACUCGAACUCGAGUUGUUUCGAGUAGCUCGACUCCACAUCGAGUCGAGUUUCGAGUCUCAUUUUUCGGGCUCGUGGCUCGUCGAGUAGCUCGACGAGCCGCGUUAAAUAUUUAUAAUUUAAAUAAUAUAUAUUUAUUAUAAUUAUAAAAUGACUAUUAUGGAUAUAGAUUUUAUAGAAUUUACAAUAUACCCUUCUUUAUAAUAAAAUCCUAUAAUGGCAAAAAAAUAAUAACAUAAUUAUAAAAAACACUAAAAAGAAAAAAUGUCUACAAAAAAAAGGAAGAAAAGACUUUCUUCCUUCUCUGUGCGACUUUCUUCUCCGUUCGAAGAAAGCCUAGCAAAAAAAUUCACUUUACCAGCCGGCAGCCACUGACUCUGACUGAUUUAGAUCUACACCCUCACUCCGUUCGUCGCCGACGCCGUUGCUCGCCGCAUCUGUGAGACUCCAUCUCCAUCGCCAUCGCCAUCGCCAUCGCCAUCGCCUUAACAAGUCCCAAGUCCCAAGUCCGAAAUCGAAGCUGCUCUCUGCCUCUCCGGCCUCCGCCAGUCCGCCGCGCUCUACGUCUCCUGUCGGCUGUGUCCUGCCGUGCUGGUUCAUCGCUGCCGAGUGUCGAAGACGAAGCACCAAGAUCUCACUAGUUCAUCGCUGGUUCAUCACUGCUCAUCUCUGGCUCACUUAGGUAAGUGCUCCUCUGUUUUUGGCUCUGUGUCUCUGGCAUUAAAAUGGGCCAAGAUCGACUAGGAAACUUGUUAUCCUGAAUUGAUAAGGGGACGAAAUCUCUCAGAGACCCAGAGAUUUCAAUCCAUCUGCCAUUAUCCUAUUACUCUCGGCCAAAAAAAAUAAAAAAAUAAAAAAAAGAACCGACGGGAAACAGAGGAGGAGCAGCCGCCACUGCUGGGUCGUCGGAGUUUGCCCAUACCGCCACGGUUAUCCAAUUCUUCAUUUAAAACGCCCCGUGAGCUAUUCUUUGCUUUCCAACUUGAAUUUCAAUUUGAUAUUUUCUGGAACCAUCUUUUGCUAGUUUCUUCUUGAAUUUUUUUAAUCUGGAGUUAUUUACAAUUUUCAUGGCUGAGUAUACUCUUUGGCCUUUGUUGGACCGAAAUCGUAUUUUGAUUACAAGUUUUGGGUCUUUCUUUCGUUGGAAUUUGAUGGGAUCUUUAGAAUUUUCGUAUGCCCUUCUACUGUUUGAAGAAAUGCCUAAACGAGAACUUGAAAUAAAGAGACAAAUCUCUUGUAUCUGUGCUCGUGGGGAGCAGCUCCUAUCAGUCCAACGCUGAUAGGAGCCCGUGGGUUCGGCGGAAAUCCAUCAAAGACCCAGAGAUUUGCUAGUAAUAGUAUACGUCAUAUGAGGCAUCUGCGGAUUUCUAAGUAUUUCAAUUCUGUGGGCGCUCAAGAAGCGCCAAAUACCUGAUGCAGAUUUAGGAAUCGUGCAAUAUUUAUGUAAAUAAUUUUAAUUUGUGCUCUUAAAAAAAUCAGACUUAGGAUAAUGGUGUGCAAAAAUAUAGCUAAGACUGACUUCAAAAUCCUUUGUGUUAUGAUUUGACCAACUAGGUGUGAUGAAUUUGCCCAAAUUCGGAUUUGAGCAACCUCACAUGCUUGUUUGAGAUAAUUGUUUGUCUCUCAAUUUGGUGGCUCAGCUCAUGUUUUGCUGAGUUUUGAAAUUUUGUGGGGAAUUUUGGUUAGUUUGGGUACUUUUGCAGCACACUUAGGAACUAUGAUUCGAGGAAUUAGAAUCAUCCAUAUUUUCUGCUCUUGUGGGCACCUACCGUUGGUGGGUAAUUGCUGAAUUUGAAAGUUUCAUGUCAAGCAAUCCAGCAAGUGGGAAUUUCCCUUUUUUCUUCUCUAUUCUUCUUUGUGGUGAAUCUGAUUUUUAGGGGUGUUAAAGAUGCUAACUGUGGGAGGUAGAAUGUGGAUACUUUUGGUUGUAUUUGUAUUGAUGAAUCAUGGAUUUUAUGCCUCAUUUACUCCAGCUGAUAGCUACUUGCUUGCCUUUGAAUCUUCCCAAAACGUCACCUUUGAUCUGGUUUUUUGGUCAAAUCGAGUCAAAAAGCUUGAUAAGACUCGACUUGAUAAGGCUCGAUUAAAGAUCGAGCCUUAUCGAGUCGAGUCUCGAGCCUAAAUGAAAUUCUUCGAGUCGAUCUUCGAGUAUCGAUUUUCGGGCUCGAUCGAGCUCGAGUCGAGCUCGAGCUUCUGUGUGUAUGAGUCGAGUCGAGCUCGAGUAUAGCGAUACUCGAGCUCGACUUGACUCGAUUACAUCCCUAAUUGGAACACAAACGUGCAUUAUUAAUCCCCUGCUUGCAAAAUUGUCUUUUUGUUGUUCAUCCACAAUUCCCGACUUUUGUGUCCCCCAACCCAACUUUUGGACGACAUUAGGGGCUUAUUUGUGCAUGCAAAACUCGUGCACCAAGAUGCUAUCACUGUGCAAUAUAACAACAGGCCCUGUGACCUGUAACGCAAUUCCAAUUGUUUGAUCCUGCACCAGCGUGAUUGUGUGUUUUAACAGUAGUGCCGUUUGUAUUGUGAUUUUUAAAAAUUUUUAUAAAGAAAAAUAUUGUAACGAUUGGAUUUAAUAUAUAUGACUUAAAAUAAUAAUUAAAAAAUAUUAUAUAUAUAUAUAUUUUUUUUUUCUGUAAAAAAUCACAAUUCAAGCAAGGGCGCUUGACGUUUACAGUAAAACGUAAAAGUUUUACCGUGGAUGUACGAGAUAAAUGUUUUUUACACGCCACGUCGUGUUAGAAGCACGAAGAAGCGGAGGCUUUGGCUUGCCAUGAAUUGUUCGCAUGGAGUAGAGUAGAGUGGGUGACACGUUCCCUAUACUAUAGAGGCCGUGCUACUUGGCACGGAAUUCUGGAAUAAGUACAAAAGUUAAACCCCACUUUACUGCUCUGUGAAGGCCAAUAAUGUCUCUCACUCAUCCUGAUUACUCCUUUUACUCAAUCCGUCUGCUCUGCACAAAAACAACCACAAAAUUACCAUAUUUGUUUUAAUCAGGGCCCCCAUUUCUAUUUCACCGUUCCUAGCUAGAGCGGUUAAUCGAACCGAAUAGCUCGCGAGCCAAGUUCGAUCCGAUUCGAUAAGGGGUUCAACUCAGUUAGUUUAAUGAGAGAAAGGAGCCGAUCUCGAAUUCAACUUUACGCUUAUUUAAUAGAUGAGCCGAGUUAUGCUCGACUCGUUUAGGCUCGAAUGGUAAGAUCAUUUCAUUGUGUAUUUGAUAUUUUUACCUAAUUCAUUCUCUCAUUUCUAGUCCUACUUUUUUCUUUCCUCUUUCGGUCUUGCCCCUAAUAUUCAUCUCCCAAACGAGCUUGAGCUUAAUAAACUCGGCUCGAUUUUGAACUCGAGUUCGACUCGUUUGAACUUAAUAAACUCGGCUCAAUUUUAAAUUCGAGUUCGAGGUCGAACUCGAGUUUUCGAUCGAGUAUACCGAGUCGAUCUCGAACAGCUUGUGAAACUUGAAUUACUAAUCGAGCAAACUCGAACUAGCUCAAUUAGAGAUUCGAGUCAAACUCGAUUAUCGUGUGCUCGAAUUUGACUCGAUUAACAGCUCUACUCCUAGCUAUCUCUUACGUUUUUUUUUUUUUUACACCCGAUCCACAAGAAGACUAUAUAGUGUUGAGUCAAAAUAGUUAUCCGUCCUACAAAUGAGAUACUAGUUCAAGCUUGGAGUGCAGAAGCAAUUUCUUAUUCGUAGUCUCUAGCAAGUAAUGGAAAUAUGUUGAUGCUUCCACCCCCAAUGUACAAAAAUAAUUACUCCCCGGUUUUCUGGUUGAACCGUGUAGAAGAAAAAAUUAUUGGAGCUCAUGGGUAUGAUGUCAUAAAUAAACCAGUAGUAAUUAAUCUAAUCUGAUCUUGGAUUAUCAGUAACCGUACCGAAUACUGGACUAUUCACCAACAUUGUGGCCGAUUGCUUUUACUCCUAUCUUCUACUAUUAUACUCACAAAAGUGCCACCAUUUUAACAUCAUCUUACAUAUAUAAUCAAAAGUGUUUAAAAGGUCUCAGGACCUUUGGCUACUUAUAUUUCACGGAAAGGGUCUCUUCAACCUUGACAGGCAGCAGAACAAAUAUUAAAACCGACUCACUCUCACUGCCUAUACUGUAAUGCUUAAUUUUUUAAGGAGCAUCGCCGGGCCAAGAGUCGCUAUUUGCUGCUGCAAGACUAAUUGAUAAUAAAGCUCGAUGCCACCUCACAAAUCACACUUCCGAAAUGUCAACUAUGAAAGCCUUGACUUUCAUGAAAACAAAUGUUCUAAUUGUUGUCAUGAUCCCCUUCCCAUAUCUUUACCAGAGUACUCGCCGCUGCCACCAAAUGUUGCCGCUGCAGCAGCAGCAACAUCAAGGCCGCCACCAAUUGAUGUCAUUAAGGCAGAAAAUCCGCCUGAUGGGCCUCCACCAGCUGCCAUCCCCAAUCCAAGAAGGUCAAGGGUAGUAUGCUUGGGACCGAAUACAGAUGGAGUCCCCAACAUCAGUUCCUUCAAGCUAGACCCACCGUCACAUGGCAGCCCAAGUCCCAGGCCUGCUGCCAAUGAUGCACUAUCAGACUCAAUUCCCCUCCCACUCCACUCCUGCUGCCCGCUGGAAGCUGACGCCGAAGAAACAAUCCCGAACCCUCUCAGGAGUGAAGCAUUAGUUGCUGCUGCUCCAAUCUGAGCAGCUUUUUGCAGUAAUGCUGUUGCAGACAUGGCAGGUUGUGGUGCAGGCGCAUACUGCCUACGCUCUUGCCCUGCUGUUCCAAAAAUUGAUGAACCGUGACUUGUAGCAAGACAGAGGGAUAUGGGUUCCGUGGAAGAAGACGCUACGACUUCAGAUGCAUUCUCAGGACGAGCCACAGCUCUAAACAAGUCAGUAAAUUCAGGUGUUUGAGAUUGCAAGCUUGCCGAUGUUGUUGAUGAGGCAAAUAAGCUUGCAAACACGCUGCUGCUAGUACUUCCAUGACUGCUUGAGCUGCUGCUGCUACCACAGCUGCCGGUUAAGCUGGUCACAACAGAUGUUUCCUCUAGAAUCUGAGGUGGAGCGGGACUUUGCUUGGGAUUUUCAGGUCCCUCUGUUGAAUUAAACAAAUCAUAUAAAAAGAAUGAGCGAAAAAAAAAAAAGAGCAUUCCCUGGUAAAGAAGCAAGAAAUGACGAAAGUAUAACCUUUCUUAUUAAAGAGCUUUGUAUAUGAUUAAAAGAGAUUCAAUAAUACCCUCCUUUCUCGGCAUCAACUUAACUUUUAGCUUUUGGCUGGAUCUCUGUCCAUUCUUUACCAAAAGAUUGCUUAGAUUCAAUCUCAAUUUUUUAUUCAUAGUUGAGAUAUGGUUUUCCCCAAUUGAAGUUAGUAGUAGUUCAUCCUUGUUCUUAUAGCAAGGGAGUAAAUCUAGUCAACCAUAGAUGCAGAUAACAACAAAGAAGGGGAACAGACAAAAACAACUAGACUCCAAGAUUAAUAGACAAAGAAACAACAACAACAGUUUGCUUUUCUUUUCUUUUUUCCCGGCAAAAGUAUGAUAUACAUCCGACAAAACCCGGACUACAGAGCUACAUAACUACCCAUCAUCAGCAGUAGGUGGAGGAGGCUGAGCUACAAAUUGGCAGUUUCGAGCAGAAAUACCUGGAUUUUGAACAGGCAAAGCUGAAGAUACUAAAGCAGCUGGUGGAGGAGGCUGAACUGCUACCGAAGGUGGUGGUGAUGAGGAUGCAAGUGUUUGAAGCUUCGGCUCCUCAUCAUCAGCAGUAGGAGCUGGAAGUGCCUCAACUGUCUGUGCUUUUGCACUCUCCUCAGCUAAUGCAUCACAAAAAGCUCUGUGUGUAAUAAAGCUAUCCCUCCUGCAAUCAUCAAACAGACAUUAACAUCAUUCUUGAAAAUAAAAAGAAAAACAGAGGGAAAAAUUUAUCUUAACAAGGUAGGGAAAAGAUCAGUUAACCUUGAAAACAGAGUCCCACAAUCACAUUUAUAUUCUCUAGUUCCACAAAUCUUUGAAUGAGCUUUCCAAUCAGACUGAACAGCAUAUUUCUUCGAACACUUGUCGCAUUUCCACUUCUUUUCGCCAUGUUUUCUGCAGAAAUGCUUCUUAAUUCCGGUCAAAUCGCCCAAUGCUCGAGAAGGAUCGUGGUGAACACAGGUGAGUUCAGGGCAUACAUAAACUCUCUUCUUGACCUCUUUGCUCGAUCUCUGCCUAAGUUUCCAAGGCAAAUUAUGUCCUCUCCGAUGCAGCUGCAAAUUCUGGUCCCUUUGGAACCCUUUAUUGCAAAUUUCGCACACAAAUCUAUUUGUUGCCAACAGAGUCUUUGGUGACAAAGCAAUCACCUCUGCAUCCGGAUCUAAGAGAAAAACAAAAUGAAACUUCAGCAAUAAGCAAAAACAGAUUACCAGUCUUUUUAUGUUUUCCUUUCUGGCUCUUUUACCUGGCAUGCCUGGGAGAUUUCGUUUUUUCUUGGCAGAUGAUGUAGGAGGGGCUGCCGCUUGAUUGCCUGAAGAAGAAGCACUGGCAUCACCGGAAGCGGUAGAAUCAUUCAUGACAGAAGAGUUAUCCAUAUCGGCAGGCAUGGAAAGAGUACUGGAGUUGUUAAAAGGGAUUUUUAGACUGCUAGAAAGGGAAAUUUUGGGGCAUUUAUGCUGCAAAAAAACUUUUAGGAUAUAAAGCUCCUUUUUCGUUUCUACGGCUUAUGGUCACAGCACUCAGCUCUCAGACUUGUGUAUCUAUCCACCAGUCAAUCUAAUUUAAAAAAAAAAAAAUAUAUCGCCAACUACCAACUACGAUCAACUUUUGACCACGACCAGAUCAGAAAUGAGCUAAUUAGCAAAUCCCACUUCACAGAACCACCACCUGUAAGCUCUGCAGAUAACGGAAUCAGAGUCGCCAGAGAAUUAUCGCCGGUGAGCACGACAUGAGUAUCUUCAGCUAAAAGAAGAUGAAAUUUUGCUAUACUUCAUGAGGUUUCUAGAACAUGGACCUUAAAUCUAGGUAGCUGUUCACCUGUCUAAUAACCAGAAAACAUUUCAGCACCGAGCUUCUUGAAUUUCCGGUGACGUUUUCUCCGAUGCAAAUGCCGGAAAUUGGGCUGGGGAGCAGUACUUUCAAGAAGACGGCUCAGAAAACUAGAUGAAAGAGGAAAUUUAGGAGGGCAGAGAGAGAGAGAGAAGAAGAUGUGAAAGUCUUCUUGUGUUUGGUCUACAGUCGUGUAAUGUUUAGAUCAUAGAACAGGUAGCCGAUGUGGAUUUGAUUAAAGAAGAGCUAAUAAAUUAAUUAGAAAUCAUCAACAGUAAAUGGGGAGAAGGGCGAAAGAUAAUGACGGGUUAAGUUUUGUGGCUCACUUUUUAACCACGGUUUCAUUGUUGACCUGACCAUACGGUGUGGUAGAGUUUCAGUUAAAAACAGAAGAGUUUAAUGAUGGUGCAGAGUGCAGACUGCAACUCUGCUAGUGCUGCUCAAAAUGUUUUCGACGUGGGAUUGGGACACGUACGUUUAGCUUUCGAUAAAAAUUAGUGAUUAUUGUAGUGUUUUUUCAGAAAAAAAAAAAGAAAGCUAUAAUAAUAUAUUUCAGAAAUAUUUUAUUAGUGUAGUUUACAGAAAUAAUAAUAAUUAUAUUAGUGUAUAUUAAAUUAUGCAAAAACGUAUGGUAACCUUACAGUCAACCGCACCGAAACUUCAACCGCAUGUGUCUAGACCCUUUUGAUUUUUCUUGCCAUGGCCUUUACAAUUUUGACUUUCAAUUAUAAAUUUCUGCACAAUUUUAUUUUGUGAUAUAUAUAAUUUGUAUUAAAUUUUUAAAAUAAAUUUUGGUAAUUGUUUGUUUCAAUUAGGCUUUACGGUGUAUAUUCAAAGACUCUCGUUUAUUUAUUAAAAUUUAUUUACUUACAACAUCAAUACGUUUCUCAAUCAUUUUUUUUUAUCAAUGCAUUUUUUUAUGUACGAUGAAUAUAAAUGCAUUGUGGUCUCUAAGUUGUAGAGCGAGCAAAAGGGUUUUAUGCAGUAGCAAUUAUGUGCAAUUUGCACCGUUGAGUGCAACCUAUUGUUGAUUAAGAAAUCAGGACAUGUGUCAUAAGUAAUCAUCCCAUCCUCUUACUGAUUUAUGCCCUGCGUCCAGUCUCCAUUUCACACAUCCCCUGUAGCACCAAACGAACACAUGAACCUGGCUCUCUAAUUCCAUCUCGUAAUAAGUACUAAUAAGUUGCUUUAUUAAGACUAAUCGUCUAAUCAUCAUUCACCCUGGAGGUUUUUUUCCCGGUGAAAAAUGCCUUAUCCCACAAGAAAAGCAUCGAUAUCAUUGUUAGACUUUUGAUGAGUGAGACCGUCUUUCAUUCUUUUGCUGCUCAUAUUCUCUCCGUCAAUGCCAAGCUCUUCUAUCUAUAGUGAUAACAUCACGUUCUUUUCUUUAUAUUCUCUCUUCUUCUUUGUUUUUUUUGGUCCUUUAUUUUUCUUUUCCAUGACUUGCACAAGAGAAAAACCGAGCGGGAGAUGGAAUAGGCUGUGGGAAUCAAAUACCGGUUUGGAGAUCAGAGAAAUAAAACUCUCGCCCAUUGGGCAAUGCGUAGUUCUCUACUAUUUGUGAAUUUACCUGAGCAACGAAUACAAUUCACAAGAAGCAAGAUUAUGAAUUUAGCUGAAAUGAUGCACAAACAGGCCGCCCGCAUAUUUCAUGAAUUAUAGCUAAGCAUAAUCAUCACGUCAUGUUUGAUAGAGAAGAGUUAUUUCACUCAACUUACAAAAACAGAGAUUUUGUCGGAGAGAGAUUGACCAGUUUUUCGUGUUUACUAAACAGAAAACUAAUAAUACUCCUAGCAGAGAUGAAAAGCAAAGGCUAUACAUAGUCUGUCAAUCGAACCUAAUGAGCCGGGCUUUUAUAAACUCUAAGCUCAGCUCAUUUUAUUUGAAAUAUUUUCGAGUUUUCGGUUCAUAAAUGUGAAAUUCAUACUCAACUCGCAUAAUAUUCGGAUUGUGAGUCUUAAUCGGGUUUAGUCAAACCUCACUUAUUACUCCUUAAUUUUCUUAAUAUAAUUACUAUAACUAUUAAAUUGUAAAACUAAUUUAACAUUUACAAGACUAUAAUAUUAAAACUAAACAUGAACAAAUAAUAAUAUUUCUUAAAAAGUGUAUAAACCAAAUUUUUCAACAAUAUUUAUAUUUAAUUCGUUCAGAAUGCAUGAAAAAUAGUAAUUAAACAAUCAAUCAUAAGUCAAUACAUAUUUAAAAGUUGAAACUUUUUUUAUAAUCUUGUGAUUUAAAUCCAAAUAUGCUUGAUGAUUUGUGUUUGUAGACCAAAAAGAAAUCAACCAAUAUUAUGUCAACACAAAAAUUUACUCAAACCAAUAAGAAAAGUUAGAGAUUUAGUUAUGCAUUACUAAUAUUGGUUCUUAAGAAAGCUCCUGGAAGAGUUUUUAGAUUUAUUUUUGUGUUUUGUAAUUUAUAUAUAUUUAGUAUUUAGUAAUAAUAUAUUUGAAUAUAUAAUUAUACAUAAUAUUAAAAUAUAAAUAUUAUAUAUAUAUAGGUAAUUAAAGGGACGGGCCUAUAUCGGGUUUGAACCUAAUAUAGCACAAACUUGGCUCAUAUUUAAUUCGGACCUAAUUUUUUAGGCUCAAGCUCAGACUAAUUCACUAAAAUGUCGGGUUCAUCGGGUUUUUUGUUGGGCCAAAUUCGAGUUGACCCAACCCCAUUAAAACAGUCCUAGCUAUACACUUUUAACAGAAGUGUUUUUUGAGUUGAGAAUCGAAAAUAGAUCUAACGAAGUUCAAUUAAGAAACAUUAGGGUCCAAUUAUUGUUUGGAUAUUGGUUUUUCCCAUAAAAUUGUUUACCUUUUUUGUGAAUACAUCUCUCAAUCACUUUUUUAUUUUACAUAUAUCAAAUUAUUGCAAUACAAUUUUUUUAAAAAAUUAUAAAAAUAGCAAUCCAAACGGGAGGGCGGCCCCAUAGUUUUAGUACAAUUAUCAAUUAUACUAAAGUACACUUUCAAUAAUUAUGCCAAAAGAUAGUAAAAAAUAUAUGUAUAGUGAUCUUUUUGUUCCUUUACUUAUUGUUCUUAAUAAAAGAAUUGAAAUCAUUGUCAAAAAAGAUGAGGGACGAUCAUAUAAAUUUGAGUGACCUAACACUCUAGUUCAAUUAAAAUUUAACUAAGCAUACUCUUAGUAGUGCUAAUGGUAUCAUAUACCACGUUUUGAUACUUUACCUGUAAGUCUUUCUUGCCUUCAUUCAGCUACCUGGGCUAAAACAUCGUCUAGCUAAUAUCGACCGGGUCUUUGCGUUCACAUCACUAGCAUUGCUUGAUGCAACUGGUAGCUAAGUUCCAUCGAUUUGAAUCGGACCGUGACCGACCUUAUCCUUUUCUUGUCGGGCAAAAAGAUGUUGAAAAUAACGCCAGAGGAAUCGUACCUUAUUUGUGCUACUUUGUUUAGCAUUUAGGAAAAAUAGGUUAAAAUGUUUUCCACAUUUCACCAAUUAAAUUUUUUUACGUAUCCUACAAAAUCAAGUUGAUAAAAUGUAAUUACAACUUAAAUUUCGACUACUUUUUUAUCACCAAAUCCAUCAUGUGACUCACACAACAUAUGGUCUUAUUGUUUUAGGAAUAACAAAAGGUUAGAUCCUAUUUGUAGUUAAACAAAUGAUUUGAUUCAUAUUCAUUUUUAUUUCUAAAAAAAUUAGGAUCCAACAUGGAUCAUAUUCAUUUUUUCCCUAAAAAAGGGAUGUGAUUCAAUCCAUAUUGACUUUUGCCAUUAAAAAAAAGUAGGAUGUUAUCACAUUGUAUAUAAAAAAAUAACUGCAUGUAGGUCGCAUGAUGAUUUUAGACUAAAAAGUGAUAAAAAAAACUUAGGUUGGGAUCUAAUUUUGCUAACUUGAAUUCGUAAGAGACGUAAAGUUAAUAUUUUAAAUGUAAAGAAUGAAAAAAUUAAUGUAAUAAAAUAUAAGGGAUGUUUUGAAUAAAUUUUCCUAGCAUUUUCUUAUACUAAAUUUGCUUCAUCAAACCAAAAUAAGCUAGAAUUAGAGAAAUGAAGACCAACGACUGUGUAUAAAGAUGUGGCUCAAAAAAAAAAGGGAAGAGCUUGCUGCUUGUCAUCCGGAAAUAAGUUAGGUAUAAUUUUGCCGAGUUUAUUUUUGGAUUUUUGCUGUCAUUUCCACCUGAAAUCCCUACCACCAACUAGGGUUGCAAACGAAUCGAGCCGCUCGCGAGUCGAGUUCGAUAUUAAUCGAGCUCGAACUCGAGCUCAGAAUAUUAAGCUCGUUAGCUCGCGAGCUUGAGUAUAUAUAUAUAUAUAUUUUUUUUUAUUUUUAUUUAAUAAUAAAAUUACGUAUAUUAUAUAUAUAUAUAUUUUUAUUUUUUAUUUUCAUAGUGAAAUUACGGAUAUAUUCUUAAUAUUUUAUUAUUUAUUCAGAAAAAAUAUUAUUUUAUUUAUUUUUUUUAAAAUAAAAUAAUUUUUUAUAUUUUUUUCGAGCUCGAGCUCGAGCUCGGCUCGACUUGAUUCGAGUCGAGCUUGAGCUCGAAAAUUGCCAGCUCGUCGAGCUCGAGCUCGAGUUUGGUAAAAUUUAGUCGAGACUCGGCUCGAUUAGCUCAAAACUCGACUCGGUUCGGCUCGUUUGCAGCCCUACCACCAACAACCGUAAAUAAACGCGCACACAUACACUAUCUAAGGGAAACGUACAACUCAACUCAAAAGGCAUGUUGACUUUCAGGCCACACUGAGAACCUUAAGUAGUACAUACACACACCACUCACAAUCGAUGUGGAAUAGAGGAAAAGGAGGAGGAGAAACACCACGACUAUUGCCCAAAGGCUCACUUCAAAAUGUGUUUUUGUACCAUUCUUGAUGUCUGUGUUGAAUUUCAAAAUUCAGAAUGACAAGUUUUUCCCACCUGAAAUCCCUGCCACAAAAUGUGUUUUUCUACUUUUUCCUGAUGCCUAAGUUGAAUUUCAAAAUUCAGGAUGACAAAAAAUUUGUUUUUUUUUUGAUGUCGUAAAAUUGGUUGAAAUUAAGGCCAAGCCUGUUACUGAUUGCUGUUUUGAGGAUACAGUCUAGCUAUUAAUGGUUACAAUUUACAUCUACUAAUCAUUUUCCGAUAACUGGUUUACAUUUUGCCUUACGUUUAUAUAUUUUAUUUCUUCGUUAGUACGUAUUAUUUAGAAGUUCAAAACAUCUACAGUAAAGCUACUUGUAGUGCUUGAUUGUCAUCAUUGUCCAUUACAUUUCCAAUUUUCUUCUAAUUUGACAUUUCGAACAUUCGGCCAAAAAAAAAAAAAAAAAUCACCCUUGAUGUUCUAAUCACUUAUGUCUAUUGUCUAAUUUUUAUUAACAUAUUAAACAACCGUUCUUUUUUUUUUUUUUAAUAAAGAAGAUCAACAGUCCAGCAACAAGGCGUCAAGAUAGAAGAUGGCAACGAUACGAGGUCCGGCGAACUUUGCAACUUUAUAAGACUAGUACAAUAGAGACCUUUUGCUGUUGUUUCAUUGUGAUUCUUUUGCUGAGUUAAUUUGAUGUUUUAGUUUCCUUAACCAAGAUGGCAUGCCAGUAAUUGAUUUGACUUGACAUUCAAUAAAAGGGGUUGGCUGAUCUCAAAAGCUUCAAGGCUUAGAAAGUUUACUUUUAGUUUCAAAGGAUGGAGGACCACCUCAAUAAUCACGAUGCUUCUUCUUCUUUUUCUUUUUUUUUUUUUUUUUUAUAAAUAUAUGUACGUAUAUAAAGUUUUAGCCUCCCAAAAUAAAGAGAAAAGGAUCCCGGCAUACUUUCUUUUUGUUACCUGGAGCCUGGAGGAUAUGCCUGCAGUAGCAUUUCGGCUAUGCAAAAAAGUCAAUGACAAUUCAAGAAAAAAAAAAAGUGCAAUUGCGAAUAUAGGAAUGAUGCAGAUAAUUGAACAUAUGGCAUUUGUUCUAUUCCAGGAUGACAAAGAUCUUUAGGUCCCAAGAAUUUAGAAAUUACACUUCAUUUCCUUAAAGUAUUAAAGAGUUUUAUUUACUAUAUAUUUGUAAAAAAAAAAAAAAAAAAAAGAUUUUGUGCCUGAAAAGCAUCCUAAUUAUCAGAGUUGAAGGAUGGAGUCCUAAUAAACUAAUUAUUAUUAUUAUUAUUAAAAUCAAGAGUAAAGUUAUAAACACGGUAGAGAAGAGAGUUGCAGGUUUUAGACUCGUGGUGGUCAAGAUGAGAAAGAAAUGCAAAAAGGAACGCGCUGUGCCGUCAAAAUUCAAAAUUAAAAGAAAGGACAAAUGAUCGAGUUUGAAGUACAAAAGCCAAAGUCUACUGUAGCGUAGUUUCUUAUUAUUAUUUUUUUUUUAUAAUAAAAAUAAGAAACAAAAACGUACGAGUGCUUUAUAGUAAUAAUAUUGCAAAACGCAGUACUGUAAAAAGUUUCCUGAUUUCACUUCAGAAAGGGUGCACGUUCUCCGACGUGUCUCAGAAAAUUUUUUUUUUUUUUUUUGGUUGUUGUUGUUGUUAGCAACUUAGCAUCAACUAGUUUCCAUGCUGCUACUAUCAUACAAUGUUUGCUUUCCAUAUUUAUCAUGAAGAAAUACGUAGCAAGUAAGAAAAUCACCGGCGACUCUCUCUAUGGAACACAAGAAAAAAAAAGCAAUUUCUCAUACUUUCUCUUCUCUUAUCUCCAUUUCCUACCACCCAAACGCUCCGAGGCCUAUGGUAAAAUAAAACCAAAAAGAGUAUAAUAAACUAGAGAGCGAAAUCAUCAUCAUUUAGUAUAGGACUCUAUGCCAUGGUAACACCCACAAAGCCGGCACAAGACUUCUCUCAACAUCCACAUAAUUAAUUGCAUUGACUUGGAACGCAAUUGCUUUACCCUUUUUUUCUUUCUUCCUUCUCUCUUUAAAAGAAUUUGUCAUAUAUAUAUCAAACUUGUUAUCAUGCUGGACAGAAAUGAUGGCCUAGCCAAGUUGGAUUUCUAGUGCAGCAAGGCACUCGUUCUCUUUAUUCAAAACUCAAAAUAGGAGGAGAGAGUAUCGCAGGGAACCCUUUUCCUUUUAACUCUCCCAGGAGAGUAUCAUAUGGAAUGGAACGCCGAUCUUCGACUGAAGGCCAAUUCAUUCCAAAAAAAAAAAAAAAAAAAAAUUUUUUUUUCCCUUAAAAAAAAAAAUAUUUAAUAAAAGCUUUUGGGGUGGGUAGGAGAUGAUAGGUUGGUCUCAAUCGAUGAGAGGGGUCGAUCACAUUAACCACCACGCCACACCAGCUGAACAAUUUCUGAGCAGAACACAUGCAUUCAAUGCAUGGACAGGCGGGGCGUCUGGCAGUUGACCAGGGAUGCUGCAGCAGCAGCUUGCAAUGCAAUGCACGACUCCUUCAGUCGCCAUGCCAUGUACGGGACACGGGACAUGACGAUGCCGAAGCCCUUACCUGCGCGAGGCAAUUCAAAUUUCAAGUUUGAUGAUGAUGAUUAAUUUCCCAUGGACAAGUUUGAUUUUUUUGCUUCUACAAUGACAGAUCGCAGAUUUUAUUUAAUGUUUUGCUUUUCCAUCCUGUCCGUACUUUACUCUCUGCCCCUAUCACACUCAUUUUAACGCCGAGGAAGAUUACUUACGCAUGAUUAUAUUAGGAACCAAGAGGAAGAAGAGUGAAGGAGUUGGGACGUUUAGCUUAAUUAAAUCCUUAUGCAACGUAUGGAGUUCUUGUUAUAACACCCAUCUACAAGGUGGUUACAAAUUAAAUGAAGUUGCACUACUUUCCCCCGGCUAAUUUCUCAGAUUAUUUGUAUUUAAAAAAAACAUCCGCCAAAUGCACCUCUGACAUGGGUUUUUCUAAUUGUAUAGCGUCAGCACGGCCGCAUAACUAAAAAUUCCACCCAGAUCUUCUCUGCAAAAAAAUUCAAUGAUGCACAGUCGGUGUCAGAGGGGACGGGCUGACUGGGCACGUCCCCGGCUGACAGAAAACUGACUCCGUCUGCGUAUGAGUCAGAGGGAAAAAAGCAAAACUUGCAUUAUUCCAUCCGGGAAAAAAAAAGGAAAAGAUAAGGAAAGGAGCAAGUGAGCUCCAUUGAUCGAAAAGAGAUUCCCCUGCAGCUUUUUUGUGCUAAUGGUGCAGGCGAACCCCAACUACAGCCAGCAAAAGUUUUUAAUUAAAAAAAGAAAUUUAAGCUGGCUGCCGGCUUGCAAGUUUUUUUCUUUUUUUUUUUUUUAAAGUUAAGUUGCAGGUUGUCAGCCGACUAAACAUUGUUAAGUACUUUUAAGUACUAUUAUAUUUAUUUUUACCUUUAUUCUUUUAACAACCCACUACCAAAUAAUAAUUUAUUUGUAUAUUUUAUUUAGAUAUAUAUCAAUUUUCUAUAUAUUUUAUAAAAAAAUAUAAAACCAAAUUUUAUACAUAAUAAUUUCAACGAUUAUUUUUCAAACAUUUGGAAAAUGCAUAUUCUUGUAAAUUGAAUGACAUUUUUUUAUCUAAAAACUUUUUUUAGGGAUAAAAAUAAUUAAUUUAGCAAAUUUAUCUUGACCUUUUUCAUACGUUUGAGCUUAACAAAAAAUUAACCACAAAGGCUACCGAUAGCAUAAGUUUUUAUUUUUUUUUUAAAGUAAGCUACAGGCUGCAGGGCUCAAACCUUAAAAAAAAAA